ensembl:lncRNA
ACUUUCCAUGCUGAAAAAAUAAGAGAAUGAUGAAAUCAUCAAGACUGGGGUUCAGAAGGAUCCCUCAGAAAGAUCCUGGGAUGGAUGUGAAUGUCAGAGAAUGGCAGGACAAGCCAUAAAAAUCACAGCCUGCUCCGAGAAGGACACAGAAUAAGACAGAAGUCACAACACUGAGAUGGGAGAGUGAGAAAAAAAGCCAGAAGCACAAAAUCUAAACUAUAGGGAAGUCGAGCCUGCAGUAAUGGUUCUUCAACCAUUGGAUCUCUUGGAGCUUUCUUAUGCUUCUUCUUCUGGUGCCUCGUGGCAUAGAGAGAUGUAUCUGGGAGAAUCCAAAUUCCUCAGAUUGCACAUGCCAGUAGAGACCAAAUGUGUAACCUCUGUGAUGCAAAUUAUAUUUAACCAGCUCUGGGGACUGAAUAUGGAUUGCUGCUUUGGAAAGACCCAGAAGUAA